GGUAACUGUCGGACGCAGACUGUCGGUCACACUCUCCUGGGAAGAAUAAGAGACCAAAGGGUUUUUUUUAAUUAGAAAUUUUUAUUUAUUUAUUUUUUUUACAGUGGACGCCAAAUACAGUAGCAAUUCCCCAGAAGAGCAAUUUUUCAGAGGGAAUACCGAAUUAUAGGAAAACCUACUGGAGAGAUGACAGUCAGCUCCCGCUUCAUGUUACAAAGGCGAUCAUCUCGGAUCGGGUGGAACAUUUGUACGGCCAGGAAAAUGGAAGACUGCAGCUGACUUACAGACUCUUGUAAACUGCAAAUCUGAUUUCUAUUCUGAAACCCCAAACCACGCGGGAACCCUGCUGUACCUCUGAGGGAAGACAAACGUUCCUGUGAAGCCGCGAUUCCCACUCUGGCCUAGAAGAAAAUGGCGGCAUGCUGCUAAGAGGUAUAUUUGGUUUAUUUACUAAUCAAAACCUUGUUAUAACCCAUAAAACCAGUAAAACCUCUCCAAUAUAGCGGUAACAACAAAUCAUCUUGCUCACGCAAUUUUUUUAUUUGCAUACACAAGCACAUAAAAGCAUAAAAUACACCCACUAAUCAAUAAAUAAACAUCGGUGGAAUAUUCCUUGUUAAUCGCAAAAGGAUCGCUUGCGUUAUUACCUAAAACUCGGCGUUGGCCAGCCACAAACAAUACUUUCUUUUUAGAGGUGUAUUCGUUUAUGCUCUGGUCAGUGCACAUUUUCCAAAGUUCAAUCACACCCUUACAGUACUCGGCCUGCCUCAGAACGCCCUCCCCGUCCUAUCAGCCAGGUACAAGAAAGUCAAAGUAAGAGAGAUGCAUGCGCCCACUUUUCUGGCCAUGCACAGAGUGAAGUCCCGCAGCUUACGCUAUGAAAACUAGUGUAGCACGCACUCUGCGUCUGCUCCAAAUCGCCUGCAGACUACAACAACAACAACCAGAUGAGCCUUUGGGAUGCUGUGCAAGAACAAAAGCAGUUUCUGUCACAAACCACAAGGUACACAGCAAAGUGAAUAGAAAGCCAACGUUGUGCUGGAGUGCUGAAAAAGUCAAGCUACUGUAAGGUAAUCUAUACCCACUAUUUAUUAAAGUUUAGUUUUGCAACUGGAUUCAUCUCACCCUAUGAUAAAGAAACAGGUUUGAAUCCAUAUUUCGGGAUGAAAAUGUAUAAUAACAGCUCGCAGCAGGGCCCAGAUUUUAUUGAAAUGAAGGCCUAAGUUUUGAACUGCUGCAAGGAGUAAGUGUCCAACAGCAAGGCCGGAGAUUGCAUCUCCUUCUUGUUUAAAGCUAUUCUAGUCCUUUAAAUGUAGAGACUUUGCAAUCAUCAUGAAAAAGACCGUCCAGGAUCUUCAUCAUUGAGAUUGCAAUUUUUACUACUAACAAGUUCUUUAAUCAAUCUCAGCACUAUAUGUUUCCAGGCGAUCAUCUCGGAUCGGGUAGAACAUUUGUACGGCCAGAAAAAUGGAAGACUACAGCUGACUUACAGACUCUUGUAAGCUGCAAAUCUAAUUUCUAUUCUGAAACC